CAGUAGCCGCGGUAAUACGAGGGGGGCAAGCGUUGUUCGGAAUUAUUGGGCGUAAAGGGCGCGUAGGCGGUUUGGCAAGUUUGGUGUGAAAUCUUCGGGCUCAACUCGAAGUCUGCACCGAAAACUGCCGGGCUUGAGUAUGGGAGAGGUGAGUGGAAUUUCCGGUGUAGCGGUGAAAUGCGUAGAUAUCGGAAGGAACACCUGUGGCGAAAGCGGCUCACUGGACCAUUACUGACGCUGAGGCGCGAAAGCUAGGGGAGCAAACAGGAUUAGAUACCCGCGUAGUCCCUGUCUCUUAUAU
rnacentral:rRNA from 1 species